rnacentral:rRNA from 1 species
UACGUAGGGACCAAGCGUUGUUCGGAUUUACUGGGCGUAAAGGGCGCGUAGGCGGCUUAACAAGUCACUUGUGAAAUCUCCGGGCUUAACUCGGAACGGCCAAGUGAAACUGUCAAGCUAGAGUGCAGAAGGGGCAAUCGGAAUUCUUGGUGUAGCGGUGAAAUGCGUAGAUAUCAAGAGGAACACCUGAGGUGAAGGCGGGUUGCUGGGCUGACACUGACGCUGAGGCGCGAAAGCCAGGGAGCAAACGGG